rnacentral:rRNA from 1 species
UACGGGGGGAGCAAGCGUUGUUCGGAUUUACUGGGCGUAAAGGGCGCGUAGGCGGCCACCGCAAGUCGGUUGUGAAAUCUCCGGGCUCAACCUGGGGGCUGCGCUUGAUACUGGUGAGCUUGAAUGCGGGAGAGGAUAGUGGAAUUCCCAGUGUAGAGGUGAAAUUCGUAGAUAUUGGGAAGAACACCGGUGGCGAAGGCGGCUAUCUGGCCCGUAAUUGACGCUGAGGCGCGAAAGCGUGGGGAGCAAACAGG